rnacentral:lncRNA from 1 species
GAAACCAGAGGAAAAGAGAUGCCGAGUCUGGUGGUGGCUGAACAUGGUGAAGGGAGGCGCCGGACGGUGGCGGUGCGGAGAGAGGAGCGGCGCGGCGCUUACAAGGGAGGAGGGCAGGAGAGGGAAGGGAGAGGCGAGUGAGGCUGAGAGAGAGAUUGUGUGAGAAGAGAGAGAGAAACUGAGAGAGAAAAGAGAGACG